GACGUAGGGUGCAAGCGUUGUCCGGAUUUACUGGGCGUAAAGAGCGCGUAGGCGGUCUGUUAAGUGCGAAGUGAAAUCUCCAGGGCUCAACCCGGAAACUGCUUCGCAUACUGGCAGACUGGAGGGAUGCAGAGGUUUGUGGAAUUCCUGGUGUAGCGGUGAAAUGCGUUGAUAUCAGGAGGAACUCCCAUGGCGAAGGCAGCAAACUGGGCAUCACCUGACGCUGAGGCGCGAAAGCGUGGGUAGCAAACAGG
rnacentral:rRNA from 1 species